UGGCAAAUUGGUAGCCGUAAACCAGGGGCGGUAGCAUA
rfam:Rahnella aquatilis CIP 78.65 = ATCC 33071, complete genome.